rnacentral:rRNA from 1 species
AAGUCGUAACAAGGUCUCCGUAGGUGAACCUGCGGAGGGAUCAUUACAAGAACGCCCGGGCUUCGGCCUGGUUAUUCAUAACCCUUUGUUGUCCGACUCUGUUGCCUCCGGGGCGACCCUGCCUUCGGGCGGGGGCUCCGGGUGGACACUUCAAACUCUUGCGUAACUUUGCAGUCUGAGUAAACUUAAUUAAUAAAUUAAAACUUUUAACAACGGAUCUCUUGGUUCUGGCAUCGAUGAAGAACGCAGCGAAAUGCGAUAAGUAAUGUGAAUUGCAGAAUUCAGUGAAUCAUCGAAUCUUUGAACGCACAUUGCGCCCCCUGGUAUCCCGGGGGGCAUGCCUGUUCGAGCGUCAUUUCACCACUCAAGCCUCGCUUGGUAUUGGGCAACGCGGUCCGCCGCGUGCCUCAAAUCGUCCGGCUGGGUCUUCUGUCCCCUAAGCGUUGUGGAAACUAUUCGCUAAAGGGUGUUCGGGAGGCUACGCCGUAAAACAACCCCAUUUCUAAGGUUGACCUCGGAUCAGGUAGGGAUACCCGCUGAACUUAA